rnacentral:lncRNA from 1 species
AUGUAGAGCACUUUGAAUUCAUGCACUUUGAGUUUAAUAUCAUGAUUGGAUAGAAUUUCUUGUUUUUCUCCCUUAAGGAUGAGAUGACUACGAGUGUAUUUUGUGUGAGAAGACAAAUGAACUAAAUAUUGGUGGUAAGACAGGGCACUUAUUGUAGUUGAAAACAUGCAGCACCAUUUGAAACAAAGAGACAAGAAAUCUUAGGAAGAUUUUCCAAGCAAGAGAAUAUCCAAGUCAGAUCUGAG